rnacentral:rRNA from 1 species
UACGUAGGUGGCAAGCGUUGUCCGGAAUUAUUGGGCGUAAAGAGCUCGUAGGCGGUCUGUUGCGUCGGCUGUGAAAACCCGGGGCUCAACUCCGGGCCUGCAGCCGAUACGGGCAGACUAGAGUUCGGCAGGGGAGACUGGAAUUCCUGGUGUAGCGGUGAAAUGCGCAGAUAUCAGGAGGAACACCAAUGGCGAAGGCAGCUCGCUGGGACGGUACUGACGCUGAGACGCGAAAGCGUGGGGAGCAAACAGG